GACGUAGGGGGCAAGCGUUAUUCGGAAUCAUUGGGCGUAAAGCGCUCGUAGGCGGAUCGGACAGUCGGUGAAGAAAGACCCGGGCUCAACUCGGGGAACGGCACCGAUACUAUCGAUCUUGAGGCAAUCAGAGGGUGAUGGAAUUCCCGGUGUAGCGGUGAAAUGCGCAGAUAUCAGGAGGAACACCCGUGGCGAAAGCGGCUCUCUGGGACGGUACUGACGCUGAGACGCGAAAGCGUGGGGAGCAAACA
rnacentral:rRNA from 1 species